rnacentral:rRNA from 1 species
GGGUCAGUAGGUUGGUCGUGCCACCGGUACGUACUGGUCUCACUGAUUCCUCCUUCCUGAAGAACCGUGAUGCCAUUGAUUUGGUGUUGCGGGGAAACAGGACUGUUACUUUGAAAAAAUUAGAGUGUUUAAAGCAAGCUAACGCUUGAAUACAUUAGCAUGGAAUAAUGGAAUAGGACGAUCGAUCCUAUUUUGUUGGUUUCUAGGAUUGACGUA